rnacentral:lncRNA from 1 species
UUAAAGCUAGUCCGGAUUUCUUGUGAUCUCCUCACGACGUGACCUGAAGAUCUCCUUCGUCGUUCUUGGCAUAUGCUAUUUCUUGCACAAUUCUCUGCAAGUUGUGCAUUUUUGGACAGCAAGUCUUCCAAAUCGAUUCUCUUCCCAAAUCGACAGCGGAUUUUCUUCAAAUCGCAAAUUUGUUCAAUUUCAUUCUUGGAGCAUUCUUUAUGAUUGGAGC